rnacentral:tRNA from 1 species
UUAUUUCUAAUAUGGCAGAUUAGUGUAAUAGAUUUAAAUCCUAUAAAUGUAAAUAAAUUUACUAUUAGAA